GUCGUUGCAUUGAAUAUUUCCAUGUAAAUAAUAUAAAAUGUGUAUGGAGUUAGUGCCAGAUUCCAUUUUUUUCAGCAUAUAUCAAUCCCCUCUUUCCAUCAAUAGCAUAUAAAUAUAGACUUGAUACACAACAGCAGAAAGUGUAACAAUGUAAAAUGAAGAAACAAAGCUGGACACAGAAAGUGUUUGAUGCAUUGAAGUGUUACAUACAAUAAUGUCUUAUUUAAACAAUAUAAACAGCUGAU
rnacentral:lncRNA from 1 species